rnacentral:rRNA from 1 species
AGUGGGAAUUUUGCACAAUGGGCGAAAGCCUGAUGCAGCGACACCGCGUGAGGGAUGAAUGCCUUCGGGUUGUAAACCUCGUUAUAAGUACCGGCUAACUACGUGCCAGCAGCAGCGGUCACACGUAGGGUACGAGCAUUACCCGGUUUUACUGGGCGUAAAGAGUUCUGUAGGCGGUAGUGUAAGUUAAGGGUUAAACCCCCCGGCUUAACCGGGGAUCGGCUCUUGAUACUGCAUUACUAAGAGGUAACUAGGGGGUAGCGGAACGUAUGGUGUAGCAGUGAAAUGCGUUGAUAUCAUACGGAACACCAAGGGGGAAGCCAGCUACCUGGGGUUAACCUGACGCUGAGAGACGAAAGCGUGGGGAGCGAAACGGAUUAGAUACCCUUGUAGUCC